UACGUAGGGGGCAAGCGUUGUCCGGAUUCAUUGGGCGUAAAGCGCGUGUAGGCGGCCAGGUAGGUCUGCUGUGAAAACUCGAGGGCUCAACUUCGAGCUGUCGGUGGAAACUUUCUGGCUAGAGUCCGGAAGAGGAGAAUGGAAUUCCUGGUGUAGCGGUGAAAUGCGCAGAUAUCAGGAAGAACACCCGUGGCGAAGGCGGGUCUCUGGGCCGUAACUGACGCUGGAGGAGCGAAAGCGUGGGGAGCGAACAGG
rnacentral:rRNA from 1 species